rnacentral:rRNA from 1 species
UGGGGAAUAUUGGACAAUGGGGGCAACCCUGAUCCAGCAAUGCCGCGUGUGUGAUGAAGGCCUUAGGGUUGUAAAGCACUUUCACUGGUGAAGAUGAUGACGGUAACCAGAGAAGAAGCCCCGGCUAACUUCGUGCCAGCAGCCGCGGUAAUACGAAGGGGGCGAGCGUUGUUCGGAAUUACUGGGCGUAAAGGGCGCGUAGGCGGCUCUUUAAGUUAGGCGUGAAAUCCCCGGGCUCAACCUGGGAACUGCGCUUAAGACUGGAGAGCUAGAAAACGGAAGAGGGUAGUGGAAUUCCCAGUGUAGAGGUGAAAUUCGUAGAUAUUGGGAAGAACACCAGUGGCGAAAGCGGCUACCUGGUCCGGAUUUGACGCUGAGGCGCGAAAGCGUGGGGAGCAAACAGG